rnacentral:rRNA from 1 species
AUUGAACGCUGGCGGCAGGCCUAACACAUGCAAGUCGAGCGGAUGAGAGGAGCUUGCUCCUUGAUUUAGCGGCGGACGGGUGAGUAAUGCCUAGGAAUCUGCCUGGUAGUGGGGGAUAACGUUCCGAAAGGAACGCUAAUACCGCAUACGUCCUACGGGAGAAAGCAGGGGACCUUCGGUCCUUGCGCUAUCAGAUGAGCCUAGGUCGGAUUAGCUAGUUGGUGAGGUAAUGGCUCACCAAGGCGACGAUCCGUAACUGGUCUGAGAGGAUGAUCAGUCACACUGGAACUGAGACACGGUCCAGACUCCUACGGGAGGCAGCAGUGGGGAAUAUUGGACAAUGGGCGAAAGCCUGAUCCAGCCAUGCCGCGUGUGUGAAGAAGGUCUUCGGAUUGUAAAGCACUUUAAGUUGGGAGGAAGGGCAGUAAGCUAAUACCUUGCUGUUUUGACGUUACCGACAGAAUAAGCACCGGCUAACUUCGUG